UACGUAGGCAGCAAGCGUUGUUCGGAAUUACUGGGCGUAAAGAGUGUGUAGGCGGUGCUCUAAGUCUGUUGUGAAAUCUCCCGGCUUAACCGGGAGGGUGCGGCGGAAACUGGAGUGCUUGAGGGUGGGAGAGGUAAGCGGAAUUCCUGGUGUAGCGGUGAAAUGCGUAGAUAUCAGGAGGAACACCUGUGGUGUAGACAGCUUACUGGACCACUUCUGACGCUGAGGCGCGAAGGCGUGGGGAGCGAACGGG
rnacentral:rRNA from 1 species